rnacentral:rRNA from 1 species
GGCGUCCGGCCCUCCGCAAGCGCCCGCGGGAGUUUGGGUUCCGGACCUGGUCCGAUCCCGUUCCCUCCGUGGGGCUGUUUGCGAACAGGAGGUGUCCUCGGACGGCGUCGUUCGUCUCCAGUCCGCGACGCUACGGCUUGGAUGGCCUACCCGACCCGUCUUGAAACACGGACCAAGGAGUCUAACAUGCGCGCGAGUCGUUGGGUCGGACGCGCUCCGCUAAACCCAUAGGCGAAAUGAAAGUGAAGGCCCCUUUUUGGGUGCCGAGGGAGGACGGAGCCGCUCCCCUCGCGGGACGGCUCCCGCACUCCCGGGGCGUCUGAUUCCUCACUGCGAGGGAAGGCGCACCCAGAGCGCACACGUUGGGACCCGAAAGAUGGUGAACUAUGCCUGGCCAGGACGAAGUCAGGGGAAACCCUGAUGGAGGUCCGUAGCGAUUCUGACGUGCAAAUCGAUCGUCGGAGCUGGGUAUAGGGGCGAAAGACUAAUCGAACCAUCUAGUAGCUGGUUCCCUCCGAAGUUUCCCUCAGGAUAGCUUGCGCUCGGAGGAGAGUCUCAUCCGGUAAAGCGAAUGAUUAGAGGCCUUGGGGCCGAAACGGCUUCAACCUAUUCUCAAACUUUAAAUGGGUGAGAACUCCGGCUUGCUCGAUCAAUUAAAUGAAGCCGGAGUCGGGGCCACGAGCCCCCAGGAUCGGAGUGCAUAGUGGGCCACUUUUGGUAAGCAGAACUGGCGCUGUGGGAUGAACCAAACGACGGGUUAAGGCGCCCGAAUCGACGCUCAUGGGAAACCAUGAAAGGUGUUGGUUGCUUAAGACAGCAGGACGGUGGCCAUGGAAGUCGGAAUCCGCUAAGGAGUGUGUAAUAACUCACCUGCCGAAGCAACUAGCCCUGAAAAUGGAUGGCGCUGAAGCGUCGUGCCUAUACCCGGCCGUCGCCGCAGGGCGGGCCCCGUGACGGGUGCCGCUUGACGCGGCGACGAGUAGGAGGGUCGCGGCGGCGUGCGCAGAAGGGUCUGGGCUCGAGCCUACCUGGAGCCGCCGCCGGUGCAGAUCUUGGUGGUAGUAGCAAAUACUCCAGCGAGGCCCUGGAGGACUGAUGUGGAGAAGGGUUUCGUGUGAACAGCCGUUGCACACGAGUCAGUCGAUCCUAAGCCCUAGGAGAAAUCCGAUACCAACGGCGAUGGGCGAAAGAACGAGAGAAAACAGCCCAUUGAUCGGGCGAAAGGGAAUCCGGUUCCUAUUCCGGAACCCGGCAGCGGAACCGCUGUUUGUCGGGCCCUCACAAGGGGUUCGUCAGGGUAACCUAAAAGGGCCCGGAGACGCCGUCGGGAGCCCCGGAAAGAGUUUUCUUUUCUGCAUGAGCGUUCGAGUUCCCU